rnacentral:rRNA from 1 species
GUCGAACGGGUGUACGGGGAGGAAGGCUUCGGCCGGAAAACCUGCCCUUGAGUGGCGGACGGGUGAGUAACGCGUGGGCAACCUGGCCUGUACAGGGGGAUAACACUUAGAAAUAGGUGCUAAUACCGCAUAACGGGGGAAGCCGCAUGGCUUUUCCCUGAAAACUCCGGUGGUACAGGAUGGGCCCGCGUCUGAUUAGCCAGUUGGCAGGGUAACGGCCUACCAAAGCGACGAUCAGUAGCCGGCCUGAGAGGGCGGACGGCCACACUGGGACUGAGACACGGCCCAGACUCCUACGGGAGGCAGCAGUGGGGGAUAUUGCACAAUGGGGGGAACCCUGAUGCAGCGACGCCGCGUGGGUGAAGAAGCGCCUCGGCGCGUAAAGCCCUGUCAGCAGGGAAGAAAAUGACGGUACCUGAAGAAGAAGCCCCGGCUAACUACGUGCCAGCAGCCGCGGUAAUACGUAGGGGGCAAGCGUUAUCCGGAUUUACUGGGUGUAAAGGGGGCGCAGACGGCGAUGCAAGCCAGGAGUGAAAGCCCGGGGCCCAACCCCGGGACUGCUCUUGGAACUGCGUGGCUGGAGUGCAGGAGGGGCAGGCGGAAUUCCUGGUGUAGCGGUGAAAUGC